rnacentral:rRNA from 1 species
GUCCACGCCGUAAACGAUGGGUGCUAGGUGUCGCGGGUUUUGACCCCUGCGGUGCCGUAGCUAACGCGUUAAGCACCCCGCCUGGGGAGUACGGCCGCAAGGCUAAAACUCAAAGGAAUUGACGGGGGCCCGCACAAGCGGUGGAGCAUGUGGUUUAAUUCGACGCAACGCGCAGAACCUUACCCGGGCUAGAAAAGCACGGAAGCUGGUAGAAAUACCGGUGUGCCCGCAAGGGAACCGUGAUCCAGGUGCUGCAUGGCUGUCGU